rnacentral:tRNA from 1 species
AAGGAGUUAGUCUAAUUUAAAACAACUAAUUUCGACUUAGUAAAUUCUGAUAUUUCAGAACUCCUAA